rnacentral:ncRNA from 1 species
AAUGUUAAAAGCUAAACUUGUUGUGAAGCAAGGACAGAAAGUCAUGGGUCUUUAGUGCAAAGAUCGCCAGACCGCACAU